UGAGGUGUAUGGCAGGGGCGCAGCCUGAUCCAGCCAUGCCGCGUGAGUGAUGAAGGCCCUAGGGUUGUAAAGCUCUUUCACCGGUGAAGAUAAUGACGGUAACCGGAGAAGAAGCCCCGGCUAACUUCGUGCCAGCAGCCGCGGUAAUAAUAAGGGGGCUAGCGUUGUUCGGAAUUACUGGGCGUAAAGCGCGCGUAGGCGGAUCGGUCAUUUAGGGGUUUAGU
rnacentral:rRNA from 1 species